GACGAACGCUGGCGGCGUGCCUAACACAUGCAAGUCGAGCGGAACACUAGUAAUAGUGUUUAGCGGCGGACGGGUGAGUAACACGUGGGCAACCUGCCCUUGAGAGGGGGAUAACACGGAGAAAUUCGUGCUAAUACCGCAUAAUCUUUGAUUGUCGCAUGGCAGUCUUAGCAAAGAUUUAUCGCUCAAGGAUGGGCCCGCGUCCCAUUAGUUAGUUGGUGAGGUAACGGCUCACCAAGACGACGAUGGGUAGCCGACCUGAGAGGGUGAUCGGCCACAUUGGAACUGAGACACGGUCCAGACUCCUACGGGAGGCAGCAGUGGGGAAUAUUGCACAAUGGGGGAAACCCUGAUGCAGCAACGCCGCGUGAGCGAUGAAGGCCUUCGGGUUGUAAAGCUCUGUCUUCGCUGACGAUAAUGACGGUAAGCGAGGAGGAAGCCACGGCUAACUACGUGCCAGCAGCCGCGGUAAUACGUAGGUGGCAAGCGUUGUCCGGAAUUACUGGGCGUAAAGGGUGCGUAGGCGGUUCAUUAAGUGGGAUGUGAAAUACCCGGGCUCAACUCGGGAACUGCAUUCCAAACUGGUGAGCUAGAGUGCAGGAGAGGAAAGUGGAAUUCCCAGUGUAGCGGUGAAAUGCGUAGAGAUUGGGAGGAACACCAGUGGCGAAGGCGACUUUCUGGACUGUAACUGACGCUGAGGCACGAAAGUGUGGGGAGCAAACAGGAUUAGAUACCCUGGUAGUCCACACUGUAAACUAUGAGUACUAGGUGUAGGGGGCGAAGCCCUCUGUGCCGCAGUUAACACAUUAAGUACUCCGCCUG
rnacentral:rRNA from 1 species